rnacentral:rRNA from 1 species
GACGGAAGGUGCAAGCGUUGCUCGGAAUUACUGGGCGUAAAGCGUGCGUAGACGGUUAUGUAAGUCAGAUGUGAAAGCCCCGGGCUCAACCUGGGAAUUGCAUUUGAGACUGCAUAGCUAGGGUGCGGAAGAGGGAAGCGGAAUUUCCGGUGUAGCGGUGAAAUGCGUAGAUAUCGGGAGGAACACCAGUGGCGCAGGCGGCGUCCUGGACCGGCACUGACGCUGAGGAGCGAAAGCGUGGGGAGCAAACAGG